CCCAGUAAACGGCGGCCGUAACUAUAACGGUCCUAAGGUAGCGAAAUUCCUUGUCGGGUAAGUUCCGACCUGCACGAAUGGCAUAAUGAUGGGGGCGCUGUCUCCAGCAGAGGCUCAGUGAAAUCGAAAUCGCCGUGAAGAUGCGGUGUACCCGCGGCUAGACGGAAAGACCCCGUGAACCUUUACUGCAGCUUGACAUUGAACUUUGAUCUUACUUGUGUAGGAUAGGUGGGAGGCUUUGAAGUGGCGACGCUAGUUGCGAUGGAGCCGUCCUUGAAAUACCACCCUGGUAAUAUUGAGGUUCUAACUCUGUCCCGUUAUCCGGGACGAGGACCAUGUCUGGUGGGUAGUUUGACUGGGGCGGUCUCCUCCUAAAGAGUAACGGAGGAGUACGAAGGUGCGCUCAGCGUGGUCGGAAAUCACGCGUAGAGUAUAAAGGCAAAAGCGCGCUUAACUGCGAGACCCACAAGUCGAGCAGGUACGAAAGUAGGUCUUAGUGAUCCGGUGGUUCUGUAUGGAAGGGCCAUCGCUCAACGGAUAAAAGGUACUCUGGGGAUAACAGGCUGAUACCGCCCAAGAGUUCAUAUCGACGGCGGUGUUUGGCACCUCGAUGUCGGCUCAUCUCAUCCUGGGGCUGAAGCAGGUCCCAAGGGUAUGGCUGUUCGCCAUUUAAAGAGGUACGCGAGCUGGGUUUAGAACGUCGUGAGACAGUUCGGUCCCUAUCUACCGUGGGCGCUGGAAAUUUGAGAGGAUCUGCUCCUAGUACGAGAGGACCAGAGUGGACGAACCUCUGGUGUACCGGUUGUGACGCCAGUCGCAUCGCCGGGUAGCUAUGUUCGGAAGGGAUAACCGCUGAAAGCAUCUAAGCGGGAAGCCUACCUCAAGAUAAGAUUUCCCUGUGACUUUAUGUCUCCUAAAGAGCCGUUGAAGACUACGACGUUGAUAGGUUGGAUGUGGAAGCAUAGCGAUAUGUGAAGCUGACCAAUACUAAUUGCUCGUGAGGCUUGACUAU
rnacentral:rRNA from 1 species